UGGGGAAUCUUGCACAAUGGGGGAAACCCUGAUGCAGCGACGCCGCGUGAACGAUGAAGCCCUUCGGGGUGUAAAGUUCUUUCGACAGGAACGAUAAUGACGGUACCUGGAGAAGAAGCUGCGGCUAACUACGUGCCAGCAGCCGCGGUAAUACGUAGGCAGCGAGCGUUGUUCGGAGUUACUGGGCGUAAAGAGUGCGUAGGCGGCGAGCCAAGUUUGGUGUGAAAUCUCCCGGCUUAACCGGGAGGGUGCGCCGAAAACUGGUUCGCUGGAGUAUGGGAGAGGAAAGCGGAAUUCCUGGUGUAGCGGUGAAAUGCGUAGAUAUCAGGAGGAACACCUGCGGUGUAGACAGCUUUCUGGACCAAAACUGACGCUGAGGCACGAAAGCGUGGGUAGCAAACA
rnacentral:rRNA from 1 species